GCCUUCGUGGUGUAGUGGUCAGCACGCUCGGCACGUAUUCAAGAGGUCCGAGGUUCGAACCCCGUGGAGGCG
rnacentral:tRNA from 1 species